GUAAGGCUUACCAAGGCGAUGAUGCAUAGCCCGAGUUGAGAGACUGAUCGGGCCACAUUGGGGACUGAGACACGGGCCCAAAAACUCCUACGGGGAGGCAGCAGUAGGGAAUCUUCCACAAUGGACGCAAGUCUGAUGGAGCAACGCCGCGUGAGUGAAGUAAGGUUUUCGGAUCGUAAAGCUCUGUUGUUGGUGAAGAAGGAUAGAGGUAGUAACUGGCCUUUAUUUGACGGUAAUCAACCAGAAAGUCACGGCUAACUACGUGCCAGCAGCCGCGGGUAAU
rnacentral:rRNA from 1 species